rnacentral:lncRNA from 1 species
GCAAACCGCCUUCACCGCCACCGUGAUCCGUAACCCUAACCAUAACCCGCGGCCAAUCUCCCGAUCCGUCGGCGGCGCCGGCGAUGCCCUCCUUCUCCUCCGCCAACCUCCUCGAGCUGGUAGCCGGCGACGACUCCGACUUCGCCGCCUCUCCCCUCCGCCCUCCUAUUCUCCCCCGCCUCAUGGACGCUGCCGCCGACUAUGAUAGCCCCCCCGCGUCACCGUCGCAGCGGGAGCGGAGGAUCAUCGUUUCCCACCGCCUCCCCCUCCGUGCCGCCACUGACCCCGCCUCGCCGGGCGGCCUAUCCUUCUCCCGGGACCCCGACGCGCUUGCUCUCCAGCUGCACUCCGGCCUCCCGCCCGCCGCUGAGGUUGUCCAUGUCGGCACCCUCGCUGCCACCGUCGACCCCGUCCACCACGCCGCCGUCUCCCGCAUCCUCUUCGACCGCUUCCGCUGUCUUCCUGUCUUCAUCCCCGCUGACCUCCACCGCCGGUUCUACGACGGGUUUUGCAAGCACUAUCUCUGGCCCCUCCUCCACUACCUCCUCCCUCUCUCGCCGUCCUCCCUUGGCGGCCUCCCCUUCGACCGCGCCCUCUGGCUUUCCUACCUCUCCGCCAACAAGCUCUUUGCCGACCGCCUCAUCGAGCUCCUCAACCCGGACGACGAUCUAGUGUGGAUCCACGACUACC